AACCAGCACCUCAAGUGGUCAGGAUGAUUAUUGGGCCUAAAGCAUCCGUAGCCGGCUCUGUUAGUUUUCGGUUAAAUCUAUGCGCUCAACGCAUGGGCUGCCGAAAAUACUGCAGAGCUAGGGAGUGGGUGAGGUAGACGGUACUCGGUAGGAAGGGGUAAAAUCCUUUGAUCUAUUGAUGACCACCUGUGGCGAAGGCGGUCUACCAGAACACGUUCGACGGUGAGGGAUGAAAGCUGGGGGAGCAAACCGG
rnacentral:rRNA from 1 species